UACGGAGGGUGCAAGCGUUAUCCGGAUUCACUGGGUUUAAAGGGUGCGUAGGUGGAAUGGUAAGUCAGUGGUGAAAGCUCCGGGCUUAACUCGGAAAUUGCCAUUGAUACUGUCAUUCUUGAGUACAGUUGAGGUAGGCGGAAUGGGUCAUGUAGCGGUGAAAUGCAUAGAUAUGACCCAGAACACCAAUUGCGAAGGCAGCUUACUAAACUGUCACUGACACUGAGGCACGAAAGCGUGGGGAGCGAACAGG
rnacentral:misc_RNA from 1 species